rnacentral:rRNA from 1 species
CAGUAGCCGCGGUAAUACGUAGGGUGCGAGCGUUAAUCGGAAUUACUGGGCGUAAAGCGGGCGCAGACGGUUACUUAAGCAGGAUGUGAAAUCCCCGGGCUCAACCUGGGAACUGCGUUCUGAACUGGGUGACUAGAGUGUGUCAGAGGGAGGUAGAAUUCCACGUGUAGCAGUGAAAUGCGUAGAGAUGUGGAGGAAUACCGAUGGCGAAGGCAGCCUCCUGGGAUAACACUGACGUUCAUGCCCGAAAGCGUGGGUAGCAAACAGGAUUAGAUACCCCAGUAGUCCCUGUCUCUUAUAA